GACGAACGCUGGCGGCGUGCCUAACACAUGCAAGUCGAGCGGAAAGGCCUCGUUCGGGCUGUACUCGCGUUGCCGGCGGGUGGGUAAGUAAUAAGUGACUUGCCCUUGUCUAUGGCAUGACUAACGUAGACUAGCCGUAGUACCGAACAGAUGAUACAUUGAACCGGAUGGGGCUGGAAAGUAUCGGCGGUUGGGGGUGGCCUCGCGGCGUAUCCGCUUGUUGUUGGGGUAGUGGCUUACCAAGGGCUUGACGGGUAAACGGCCUGAGGGGGUGACCGGCGACAUUGGGACUGAGGGACGGCCCAGACACCUACGGGAGGCAGCAGGGGGGAAUAUUGCACAAUGGGUGGCAGCCGGAUGCAGCAACGCCGGGGGUGGGAUGACGGCGUUCGGGUUGUAAACCGCUUUCGCUCAUGACGAAGCUUUGUGUGACGGUAGUGGGUAAAGAAGCACCGGCUAACUACGUG
rnacentral:rRNA from 1 species